UGCGUCUACACAGUCUACGUCCAGUCCGGGUAAUCAUUAAUCACUAAUCAGAUGAUUAGGCCAGCAUGCAGUGCAGUGCAGUGCACCCAUCUCUAUAAAUCAAUCAAUAAAGAAUCAUAGCAUUCAAUUGUGGUUGUUGAAGUUUUUCAAGUUUGUUUUCAAAAGGUGGGGUUAGAAUAUUUUUCUCAAGGUUGGGGCAUUGGUUGGGGUUGGAAUUUCCUUAUGGCGACGUGUGGUAAAUUUUUUUCUAUGUUUUAUCAAUAUUUAUUAUUACAAGUGGUUGUUGAAGGUUGUUAAGAUUUUUGUUAUAAGGUAGGGUUAGAAUUUUUUGUUCAAAAGGUUGGGGCAUGGGUUGGGGUUAGAAUUUUUGUCAAAAGGUAGGGUUAAAAUUCGUCCACCAGAGGGGUUUGGUGUUGCAGUCAGUACAAAGUGUCAGUGUCAGUAGUUAACUGCACUGUAGAACUGGGACGCUGGCACGCUGCACGGUCAUUUUCAGUUCGGCUACGUGUUAGUCAUUUCAGCGGAGCGAACCUCAACGUUUGGCAUCGUGAAGAUAGAAAGUCCCACUCCCAGCGAGUCGUCUGACCAUGUGUCCUGAAAGUGAUGUCCGUAUGCUCAAAUGUCGUCUCGUACUAGAAAGUAGAAACUUGAAUGGAAUGUGCAUCAUAUCUUGCCGAGUUGGUGUCCCUAGAAGGGAUAUGAUUGCUACUGAGAGGUCUGAAAGCUUACAAUAUAUACUUGUCAACUCCAUGUGUUGUUGUGGAGUGCUCUCCAAUUUCUGAAGACUUUCACUGCAUGUUGAGAUGUUUUGUUGCAUGGAGAAGUACUUUUACUUUGAAGAGGAAAUGUGCAAUGGCCAUGCAGCUUACUGUCCACUAUUUUGUUCAUAAUAAUUGUUAUCUACUGAAUUCCAAAGCUUAAACAAUCUUUCUCCUUAACUUUAGUUGGUAUAUUAAUUCAAGCUGUUGAAUGAUGGUGUUUGCUGCUCGAUGUGAAGAUGGUGAAAGGAGUGCUUGACUCGGGAUAAGCUGCCAUUGUUUCUGGUGAUGGUGAAUCUACAUUGCUAACAGUCUUCUUUGGACAUGUCAUGGCUUGCUUGUCUUUCCUUCCGAGACGUUGUUGGAUAACGUUCACCUCAGUCAUUGUAAUUCCAUCUGAUCAUUCGAUUUGCCUUCCCAAAAUGUCGUCUCUUGCUGUAUGUUGCAUGUUUCGUCAAAAGAUGAGUUAUUUUCUCGCCAUUCGCCUAAGCUGAACCGAUAGUGAACCAAUUUAAAGUAACAGAUUUCCUUUUCUCCACAAUGUGGUCGCUGUCGUGCCAUUAAGACGGUCUUCGUGAGGGUCUACUAUGUUGCAACUUGCAAGACAAAUGUGUUGAAAGGAGGGAAUCUGUUAAGUUUAGUAAUGCACUUGGCUUCUGCAGACAUCCACUAAAGUUGACAAUUGGAAAAGUAUCUAUCCAUCUGUGUGUAUAUAUAUAGUACUUACCUAAUAAUCUGAUCACUUGGGCCUCAACUGCAGUCCAUUUGGCUGAAAUGUUGUCCAUUGUUACCUAUAUGGAUUGAUUGUGAAAGAUUACUUUUCUUAUCUGCCGAAGAACUUGAGGACAUGGCAAAGGCUGAACUUCAUUACUGUCAUGCAGCAUGCAGGUGAUUUUGUUGCAGCCAGCUGGUGAAAGAGAGUUCAAGUCAAGUUGGUUUAACUGAAGCUUCUCAAUGUAGUCUACAUUGCUGGUGUCAUCCCAAAGAGGGGUAGUGUUACUUGAAGUGUAACAGCAACAAAGACAUCUUGAAAAGGAUUUGGUGACAAUGUAAAGGGUCAAUCUACUGCAUGCAUUUCGUGAAGCUGGUGUUAUCCAUAGGGGCGACUAGGAGUAUAGAUGCAAGAAAACCUCAAGAAAUGGAGUUGGUGGAAAUGGAAAGUGGUUUUGCUGUCUGGUUUCUGUUCAAGCUGUUAUGCUGUAUCUGCUGAAAUCCAAGUAGCUGAUGCUGAUGUUAUCCUACAGUUGGUUUUCCAGUGGAAUCUUGGUUGUCUACUAAAAUAUUUUGUCUUAUUUGUUUUCAUCUGUGUAGUGUAUAAUUCAAAAGAUUUGAUAUUUAGGUUUUCAAUGUGGUAUGUUGCAACUUAUGUUGGUGAAAGUUCUUUGUGCGGUUGUCUUCGUUGUCUUAAAGCAAUUUUUCAAUUAUUUACUUCAUAUCAGAAACCUAAACCUGAAAUUACUUGUUUAAUUUUGUAAACUUAAUUGCUGUUUCAUCAAAUCAUGUAUAAAACUCGUUAAAUAUACAGUUAUUCGUUCAAA